UACGUAGGAGGCGAGCGUUGUCCGGAAUUACUGGGCGUAAAGAGCGCGUAGGCGGCGCGGUACGACCGCUGUGAAAGCCCCCAGCUCAACUGGGGAGGGUCAGCGGUAACGGCCGUGCUUUGAGUGCAGGAGAGGGAAGUGGAACUCCGGGAGUAGCGGUGAAAUGCGUAGAGACCCGGAGGAACACCAGUGGCGAAGGCGGCUUCCUGGUCUGCGACUGACGCUGUGGCGCGAAAGCUAGGGGAGCGAACGGG
rnacentral:rRNA from 1 species